UCUCUCAUAGUACAAUGGUUUAAUACACACACUGCCUAUCUUGUUGUGGUACAAUUAUCGGUGUGAGAUCCGGGUUCGAUUCCCAGUGAGAGAU